rnacentral:rRNA from 1 species
UACGAAGGGGGCUAGCGUUGCUCGGAAUCACUGGGCGUAAAGGGCGCGUAGGCGGCGUUUUUAAGUCGGGGGUGAAAGCCCGUGGCUCAACCACAGAAUGGCCUUCGAUACUGGGACGCUUGAGUAUGGUAGAGGUUGGUGGAACUGCGAGUGUAGAGGUGAAAUUCGUAGAUAUUCGCAAGAACACCGGUGGCGAAGGCGGCCAACUGGACCAUUACUGACGCUGAGGCGCGAAAGCGUGGGGAGCAAACAGG